rnacentral:rRNA from 1 species
UACAGAGGUGGCAAGCGUUGUUCGGUAUCACUGGGCGUACAGGGCGCGUAGGCGGCCCUCUGUGUCGGAUGUGAAAGCCCUCCGCUUACCGGAGGAACUGCAUCCGAAACUGGGGGGCUUGAGGGUCAAAGGGGAGAGCGGAAUUCCUGGUGGAGCGGUGAAAUGCGUAGAUAACAGGAGGAACGCCGGUGGCGAAAGCGGCUCUCUGGUUGAUCUCUGACGCUGAGGCGCGAAAGCUAGGGGAGCGAACGGG